rnacentral:rRNA from 1 species
GACGAACGCUGGCGGCGUGCUUAACACAUGCAAGUCGAACGGAAAGGCCCUGCUUUUGUGGGGUGCUCGAGUGGCGACCGGGUGAGUAACAAGUGAGUAACCUGCCCUUGACUUUGGGAUAACUUCAGGAAACUGGGGCUAAUACCGGAUAGGUGCUCCUGCUGCAUGGUGUGGGUUGGAAAGUUUCGGCGGUUGGGGAUGGACUCGCGGCUUAUCAGCUUGUUGGUGGGGUAGUGGCUUACCAAGGCUUUGACGGGUAGCCGGCCUGAGAGGGUGACCGGCCACAUUGGGACUGAGAUACGGCCCAGACUCCUACGGGAGGCAGCAGUGGGGAAUAUUGCACAAUGGGCGGAAGCCUGAUGCAGCAACGCCGCGUGCGGGACGACGGCCAUCGGGUUGUAAACCGCUUUCGCCUGUGACGAAGCGUGAGUGACGGUAAUAUGUAAAGAAGCACCGGCUAACUACGUG